CCCUAGGGAGCUGUAUCUCGCUGGGGCCUCCAAAUGUUGUAAUGUACCCCGCGAAUCACAGAAGGACGCCUCAAGAAGUCGAAUUAAAGAGUCACAUUUAUU
ensembl:miRNA